AUUUAGGGACAGUUUAAAAGCACAUCUGUAAAGACUGGGAGGUUUGGGUAAUAGAUUAAUUUGAUGUUUGUAGCUCAAGUCAUUGUCAACUGCUUAAAUUUAGAUAUUUCUGUUGUCGCUAUACAUUUGUAAUCACUUUCAUUCCAUCUUUCUGAGAUAAAGCAACUGGGAUAUAAUUGUUACUUAAAAAUUCCUAAACUCAAAAUGUGUCAGGAUCUAAGGAUGUCCUGUAACCACUCAGGUUUCUCCAGUCCCAAUCUUGGGCAACCCACUGAACUACAGGGCCCGCCUGUGAGGUGACGUGUAAACAUGUGGACCCAUCUUUCCUAAGUCAAUGGCAUCUAUGUCUCUUGCUCAUGUAGAGAACAGCAUUUCCGAGAGGCAUGACUGGUGUUCUAAGCUGGAAGGAGUAUUUGUAUGACGCCUGUCUGCGGUAUGCUUGGUAUGAAAACCAUAAGUGAUUUGCCUCCCUGGUUUGUUUAGAAUUCUCAAGCAUAAUGCUAUACUAACAAAGCUUUUAUUCUCUGAAUCUCUUUACAGUAGAGGGAAAAGGAUCGUGUGAUAAAUGAAAUAAAUAUACUGGACUUGAUCCUCAUUGCAAGAAAGGCCUGCAGUGUUUAUGUGGAAAGUUUCAACCCAGCAAUGUGAGAAGAACAAGGUCGCCGACAAGUGAAAUCUCACAAUUAAGCUGCUUACCUCUUAAAUCGAUGGAGAUGGUUGAGCUGAACCCAACCUUUUGUCCAUUGAGAGUUUACACACAAAUCCACCUUGGGUGAGGCAUGGUUGUGUCAUCAAGGCCCAGCAAAAGUCAGGGACAGUCUUCUCCCUGCGUUGCGUGGAGCUUAGCGGGUAUUUGUGACAUUCUGUAAAGGGAGGUCGGACACUCU